UGUGAGGUACCAUGGUUUUUACAUUGUGAAUGAAUGUCUGUGAUAGAUUUUUAUUCAGUUGCAGGAAUCCUACAAGGUUAUCCUCUUUCCAUUAAACUCUUUAUUUGUCAAUUGUUUGUUAACUCUAUAUCUAUACUCAAACUGCUUGUUAAUGAAUCUCAGAGAUUUGGAUUUUUCUUUUCUUAAAUUUUAUGAUUUAUGAAUGUGAUACGUGUAUUUUGAUUAUUGACUGAUGAGCAAAAUACAUUUUAAUACCAUUGAAAGAAUAUUAAAGGUUCACCAUGGUGCAGAUUUUUUUGAAAAGUUUAUUUAGAGAAUUGUAUGAAGAUCAGUGUAUUAAGUGAACAAAUUUAUUUAUUUCAGAUUUUAUGCUAUUUUGUUAUGUUGUUGAUUGUGUGUACAAGGGCAGGUGUGAAUUAUAAUCAGGUCAAGUACUUGUAUUUGCUAUUAAUGUAGUCAUCACUUAUUGAUGCAGUAUUAUUCAACAGAAAUCUAACAGUCUGAUUGUAACAACAGAUUUGUUAUGGUGCUUUCAAUGAUUUUUUGCAAUAAUUGAGAUAUAAAGCUUGGUUUAGAGAUUAUUCUGUGUAAUUAUAUAGUGUUUAGGUGUAAACAAUCUUUAGUUUUAACAUUUUAGCUGUUUGUUGUUAGGGGCAGUGGGCAAUAAUUGUCAUCAUCUGUCAAAAACUCAUCAGUGUUGCCAGAGAAACUAGUCAGUCAUUUUUGUAAUCUGACCUUUCAUUUGACCCCAUUCACCAGGAUGUCACAUUUGGGAGUGUCUCAGUUUGAUAUAUACACACAUUUUUUUAUUCAACAUCACAGACAAUUCCUGCCAUAUUUUAUGUAGACACAUUUUUCAAUAAAAGUAGGGUG
rnacentral:misc_RNA from 1 species